rnacentral:rRNA from 1 species
UACGUAGGUGGCAAGCGUUGUCCGGAAUUACUGGGUGUAAAGGGUGCGUAGGCGGCUAUGCAAGUCAGGCGUGAAAUAUAUGGGCUUAACCCGUAGACUGCGUUUGAAACUGUGUAGCUUGAGUGAGGUAGAGGCAGGCGGAAUUCCCGGUGUAGCGGUGAAAUGCGUAGAGAUCGGGAGGAACACCAGUGGCGAAGGCGGCCUGCUGGGCCUUAACUGACGCUGAAGCACGAAAGCAUGGGUAGCAAACAGG